GUGCCAGGGGUUGGGCCAAGAGGCCUGUCAGCGAGGCUGUUACAGGGCUGGUGAGGAAACUGAGCCUCAGAAGGGAUUUGCCUAUGGCCAUGGAGCUGGCUCUGUAUCCUGUACUACUAGCUCCAUUUUAUACAUGAAGAAAUGGAAGUUCAGAG